GACGAACGCUGGCGGCGUGCUUAACACAUGCAAGUCGAGCGGAAAGGCCCUUCGGGUACUCGAGCGGCGAACGGGUGAGUAACACGUGAGUAACCUGCCCUUGGCUCUGGGAUAGCUCCGGGAAACCGGAAUUAAUACCGGAUAUGACCUCGGCCGACAUCGGCUGUGGUGGAAAGAUUUAUCGGCCAGGGAUGGGCUCGCGGCCUAUCAGCUAGUUGGUGGGGUAACGGCCUACCAAGGCGACGACGGGUAGCCGGCCUGAGAGGGCGACCGGCCACACUGGGACUGAGACACGGCCCAGACUCCUACGGGAGGCAGCAGUGGGGAAUAUUGCACAAUGGGCGGAAGCCUGAUGCAGCGACGCCGCGUGAGGGAUGACGGCCU
rnacentral:rRNA from 1 species